rnacentral:rRNA from 1 species
GACGAACGCUGGCGGCGUGCUUAACACAUGCAAGUCGAACGGAAAGGCCCUGCUUUUGUGGGGUGCUCGAGUGGCGAACGGGUGAGUAACACGUGAGUAACCUGCCCUUGACUUUGGGAUAACUUAAGGAAACUGGGGCUAAUACCGGAUAGAAGCUCCUGCUGCAUGGUGGGGGUUGGAAAGUUUCGGCGGUUGGGGAUGGACUCGCGGCGUAUCAGCUUGUUGGUGGGGUAGUGGCUUACCAAGGCUUUGACGGGUAGCCGGCCUGAGAGGGUGACCGGCCACAUUGGGACUGAGAUACGGCCCAGACUCCUACGGGAGGCAGCAGUGGGGAAUAGUGCACAAUGGGCGGAAGCCGGAUGCAGCAACGCCGCGUGCGGGAUGACGGCCUUCGGGUUGUAAACCGCUUUCGCCUGUGACGAAGCGUGAGUGACGGUAGUGGGUAAAGAAGCACCGGCUAACUACGUG